rnacentral:lncRNA from 1 species
CUGCCGAACAAAGCAAAAGGAUGAUGUACGCAUUAGUUCAUACUAUAUAUGGAAUAUAUCAUCACAUGAGGCAAUGUACAAAUUACACCAAGGUAUAACGAUUUAAACGUAAACGGUAAGGGAAUCAACUUAAUAAGAUAGCUUAAACUUAACGGGGUAAUAUUUUGCAUCAGUACAGGAGAAUAUUAAAUGGGGCAACAGCUAAUUAACGGCAGGCUUCCAUUUCUAACUUCUAUAUGAUGACAGAUAAAACAGAGAGUCUGGUGAACGAAGCACCAUAAUUAGUUAGAAUAAUAUCUCGAUGCUAGUGUUGUUGACACGUCUUGAUAUGUGAGUGGUCAUUUGGAGUUCCAAUUUCCCUGUGCCACCUUUCCCACUGCUAGUAUUGAUCUCCACGCCAGUCAAGACAGUAAAAUUCUUGAGGACCGCCACUUGAUCGCCUGCUUCAGCUUCUUGGGAGAAGAACCUUGCAAUGCAGAACCUGCCGGAACCCAGGCUGACAAACUGAGGAUCCCUGCACUCCUUCCAUUCCUCUGGCAAAUGAACAAGCUCCUUCCAAGGGCCUCCCACCAGCCGCUGUGGCUGGGAAGAAGAAGAAGAAUCCAGCAUGCCAGAGAGGUCAGCAGCAGCCAAGCAGUGCCGCCGGGCACCAGUGGAGAGGCCAAACCCAAACCAGAGCUUGAGCUGAGGUACAUACUCAAUCUUGCCAUGGAAGGGGAGAGUCCAAUCACCGACUUUGUUCCACAAGAGGCUUUCUGUGUCCAGACAGUAGGUGCCAACGCCGCCCUCAACAGAUAUGCAAACAUGUGAGCCACCACCGACCACACCAUAGGCUGUGAUCUCGGGGAGGCAUUUGUUGUUGGACCAGUGAUAUGCUGUCUCCCGUACAAAUGGUGGUGGUGGAAGGAGGUGGCAGUGCCAGGAUUUGCCAGUGACGGCCAAACCAUUACGGCGGUUGAUGAAGCCCACAAACUGCUCACUCUCCUGCUGCACACUAGCUCGUCGUCUCACUUCCGGUUGGGGAACCUUCUCCAUGAGGAAAAGACUGCUGCCCUUACUGUCGAUCCGCAAGUUAGCAUCGACAUGGGGUUUGUGAACGAAGAUGGAGAUGGGCAUCACCUUGGGCGCGCGGAGUGUGGGGAUGGUUCCCACCAUAGCUGAAUCCAGAUCAAAGAAAAAGCCGCGCCCUGAAUGGUCCGCACAGAUAACCUUGCUCUCGCUGUAAUCCGCAAGCGGGAAACAGUCCAUCUUCCACUCGUUGUUCGAUGCUCGGAACGUGAAGCUGGGAUCAGCAAAUCUGAUCGUCUCCAUCUCUAAAGCCGGUGGUGGUGGUGAUCCGACUUGGUAAAACAGCCGCUGGCGCGUCAGGUCGAUGCGGCGCAACGAUUUGACACCGGGGGAGCAGCCGGGCACGAUCAAAUUCAGAAACCGCCGCGCCAACAAACCCAUACUCGUUGAUUGCCCCCAAUUUUUCAAGCUGCAUUACCGAUCGAAAAGGCGGUGGAGGGAAAUUAGUUAGAGAAGAACGAGGAUUUUCAGAUUUUUAGGUCUAGCGGAAUUUAAGGACGAAAGAGUGUACCUGCUAGCUAGGUUAAUCAGAUUUGAUCACCUCGUCCUUAAUUUCCCGCAGCGGUGAAACAAAUCCAAGAUGCCUCCUAUAAGAAUAUCGCAGAUAAUAACCAAGAUAAGAGCAAGUAUUAUGGUGGGCUGUAAGCUGGCUAAAUGCUGAUGUGGAGGAGAGAAGGGAGGAGAGAGAGGAGAAGCAGGCUGUAAGCUUACAGCCAGCUUAGACACAAGAACCAAAAAACUUUGUGAGAGAGAUAAGUGGGCCAUGUAUUAAUAGUGAAUAGGUAACUAUUGUAUGGGUGGGCUGGGAGAAGGCUGUAAGAAAUCUUACAGCCAGCAAGUGGGCUGUAUUAUUAAACUUGCUCUAAGAAAACUCAAAACGGCAGCAGCCGCGACGGCGUCGUCAUCGGCCGGCCGCCAUCGCGGGUCACACAAGGCGGCGUGGGCGCACGUGACGACUGACGAGUCGAGUUGCGAGGUCUCGGGGUGGGCUGGCGGCGGGCGACGGAGGAAGAGAAACCGCGCGACGAUCGAGUCGUGAGUCGCAUAGGGGGAAGUAUAAUUAAAACUAAAAUAAAUAAAAAAUAGUAUGAAAAAACAAAAGAAAACAAAAAAUAAACAGAAAAUAUUUGAAAAUAACAAAAUAAAAAAAUUAAAUAAACAUAAAUAAAUCAAUAAAUAAAAUAAGAAAAGAACAAAAAACGCGGAGAAGAGAAAAAAACAGAAAACAUGUUGAUAAGGUUGAGAGGAGCUGCAACAUACCAUAUGGUUAAACAAGCAUAAGCUUUGAAGCACAUGUGGGCUCAUAGCAAAACAACAACAUAAUAAAAACACAUAAAAUAAAAAUGAAUAAAAAACUUUAAAAGAAAAUAAAAAAGGAGAUAUAAAUAUAAAAAAGGAAAAAUGAUAGAAAGAAAUCAAAAGAAAAAGAAAAAUAAAAGGUAAAAUGCAAAUAAGAAAAAAUAAAAUAAGAAUGAAAAGCAUAGAGAACUAAAAAGAAAAGAAAAAGGAAGAAUAAAUAGGAACAAGGAAAUAAAACAAUAAAAAGAAAACGAUAAGAAAAAAGAAAGAAAAGGGAAACUAAAUAAGAAAAAUAUAAAAAAAGAGAAGGAAACCGUAGGUACCUGCUACUACUCCGCGCAAAGUCUGUCGUUGUUCCGCGCGCGGGCGGCCUUCCCGCGCGUCCUCCCGCGCACUGUUCGGCCAGCGGCUUCGGUCCGGCCGUUCGGACCGGAUGCGUCAAGGCGCGCGGGCUGGCGAUCAGACCUGCGUACGUCGGCACCCAGGUGGCGUUGCAACGACGGGGCCGACGAUCGGAUCGGUAGCAGGAGGUUGCGCAGGCGAUGAGAUCAGCUAUACACUCGGCGAUGAGAUGAGUAGCGAUCAGAUCGGCCAUUGGCUAGGGUUGCGGAAGAUUAGCGGAUCGUAACCGGGAUUGAGUGUUUUGGGAACGAUUAAUUCUAUUGCAUGAAUAUGCAUCAUAGGUUUUUUUUUGGAUUUCUACCAUUAUAAUUCUUCGACUUCCGAAAUCUGCCAUUAUAAUUCGCCUAUUCUGAAACUUGCCAUUGUAAUUCUUCUUCUACCUGAUUCUUACCAUUAUCUACUUCUUUUUUAGGUGUUUAGACACACUGUCAAGCCAUGUACGUUACGCAUCUUUUGUAUGCACCAAAACACCCCUAAUACUACUUCUCUUUUCCUUCCGUUAGUGUCAUGUGGGCUCCACAUGUCAGCUUCUCCUUCAACCUCAAACCAUCUUCCUCCUUCAAUCUCUUCUCCCUUUAGUCACUGUCCAAGUAGAGUGCUUGCCAGCUCGUGCACCCACGAGGCCGCAGUGGCGGCGGCUUGCCUGUGCCUCGCGUGCGCUGUGGCGGCGGCGCGGCUGCAUGCUCGCGCGCCCGCGCGCCUGCACAAGGCCGUGGCGGUGACGGUGACGGCUAGUUGCCAGCCCGCGCGCUCAAGGGGCCGCGGCGGCGGUGGCUCACCUGUCCCGGCCAUGGCGUCCACGAUGCAAGAGAUUGGGCUUGCAAGCAGGAGCGGCACGAGGUGCGAGCGGCCAGGUUAGCGAGCAGGAGCAACGCGAGGCACGAGCAGCCGCAGACCAUGUUUGUUGGCGUCGGGGGCGGAUGCUCUCCGGCUCGCGUGCCCGCAAACUGCCGGCGGUGACAGCUCGCUAGCUUGCGCACCUGCGGACCGCUGUGGCAGUUGGAGUCUGCUCACCAGCUUGCGCACGUGCGGCCAUUGCGUCGGCGUGGGAAGUCGUGGUGUCGUUGCAGGAGAUUGAAGGUGGCGAGGUUGAAGGAGAAGCUGACGUGUGGGGGCUGCAUGUCAAUGACAGCAAGAGUGUUUUGGUCCAUACGUAAGAUGCGUACACGUAUAUGGCCUCACAGUGGGUCCAGACACACGUAAAGACGUUGAUAAUGGCAAGAAUCGGGUAGAAGAAGAAUUGUAACGGCAAGUUUCAGAAUAGACGAAUUGUAAUGACAGAUCUCCAAAGUCGAAGAAUUGUAAUGACAGAAAUAAAAAAAACCUAUGGAGGCCAAGGUGGCUUAGGAGCCAACCGCACAGACAUGGUACAUGCCACAAAUAAAUCAAGGGCUACCUACACUAUAAUUACACAUACUAUAAUUACAAUAGGCUAACACUACACGAUGGAGAUGCUGCUUUGGUAACGGUAACGGUAACGGUAAUGAUAUCCUAUGGGCGUUCGGACGAACACAUCCGACUCGACUGAGCCACGAGCGCCCCGCCCCUGACUCCUUAUCCGUUUCCAUCUGUUCCGUGACCUCGCGCCCAUUCUCUCUCUCCCUCGCUCCGCUCCCCUCUUAGCUCCUCCGCAUCCACUCCACCGCCAUUGUUGCGUGCUAUUCUUCGAGUCACCGUGCUAGCCCCAUGUUGCUGCUGCUCCUCCCUAGCUCCCUCCCUCCCUCCCUCCGCCACCACCACCAAAGACGAGGACGGCGGCUCCGACGAGGUAGGUCGAUCCUCUGGAUCUAAGAUCUCUUCUUUGUUCUUUUUCUCCUCCUCCUUCUUCUCUGAAUCUGAGCUCUCCUCCUCCUCCUCUUCUGGACUAAGCCAUUCUCCUCUAGAUCUGGCGAGCUCUGGGGUCCUUUCCUCCUCCCUCCAAUGAGUUUGGAGGUGAUAGAACAAGGCUAGAGCAGCCUGUAUCUUGAACUCGUCUCCUUGUUGUUUUCUCUAGGAUGCAAUGGAUUUUUUUGAUGUUACAAUAGAUGAUUUCCGAAUGUUGCAAUAGGAUUUUUUUUGUUUGUUGCAAUAGAUAAUUUUUGAAUAUUGCAAUAGCAUAUUUUAGGUUGUUGCAAUUCUGAACAGUCCCAUUUUUCAUGUUUCAGUGUUGAUUUUUGCGAUUUUGUAGUACAUAUUUUUUAAUGUUGUAGCAAAUAAUUUUUGAUAUUGCAGUAUAUUUUUCGAGUUGCAGCACAUUUUUGAUGUUGCAGUAUGUAUUUUUUGAUGUUUCAUUAAUUAUUUUUUUGAUGUUGCAACAUGUUUUUAUGAUGCUAUAGCAAAUAAUUUUUUAUGUUGUAGUAUAUGUUUUCCGAUGUUGUAUUACUUGUUCUUCCGAUGUUGCAAUACAAGUUUUUUGAUGUUGCAGCACAUUAUUUCCAGUUGCAGUACACAUUUUUGUGAUAUUGCAAUUAUUCAUAUUUCAAUGUUGCACUACGUUUUGUGGAGUUGCACUUGGAAGUGUUUUCGUGCUCUUGCGCGGUUGGGGAACCGGGUGAUGCGGGGGAAGGGCGAACAGGCUCUGUUCUAUUUCUUUGGUGGGGCAGACAGUUUGGGAAAGCGGGGAGCGGCGUUCCGUUCUAUUCUUGCGAGGGGACAGACGGAGUUGAGAACGGAGUGACGUUUUUUAUCGUGUUCUAUCCCGUGUGGGGCCAGGUUGGGCGGGUUUAUUUUUUUAACAAGGGUGGGCGGGUUUUGGAAUGACGCGGUGUGAAAGGCCCGGCGUCCGGAUGUGUCUCGCACACCGGACUUCUGGGCGCUAACAUUUCCGUUUUGGUAAAUAUGGUGUUGCCACAUAUAUCAAUCAAACCAACAUGAUCGAUGUACCUACCUUAAGGAGAUGAUCAAAUACGGUAAUGAUCAGUACUGCAGUUUAGUACUUUACAAAAGACAAUGACUUAAACCAGUUACUACAGGAUGCUAAUUGGGGAACUUGAAAGCAAGUACCUCCAUGGUUGAAUACUUAAAUUUUAUCUACACUCACAUAAUAGCUGCCUUAGAUAGCAUGAGUACUAUUUUCAUUGAUUUAAAUGACUCAUAUUUUAUGCAUGUUAGGGAAUUUUAACGGUUUAACUAAGAUUGAGGAUUGACCUAUAGUCCUAUAGAAGAUAAAUAAAAGUUUUUUGUGAACUGAUAAGUCCAGUCUCAGUGGCCCGUUUCAAUGCACUGUUUCCAAAAUAAAUCCGCUGACAGGGCAUCAAUGAAACGAAUAAUGAAACAACCUCCACAAUGCAUGAGUUUCACCUUGACGUUUCUUAGGCUGGGCAAAGCAUUUAAUUACUGCAAAAUGAUUGGAUCACAUGCAAGAUGGUAAACAAUUUAGCCCUCAGUGGGGAUUUCAUCCCGUUUCACCGCGUGGGAAACAAUGCCCGCGGGGUUUCACCAUGGUGAAACUACUUUCUUCUCUCUCCUCUUCGUUUCAUGCAAAAAGUACAAUUUUCCUAACAUGACGCUCUAAUAAAUGUGCAUGACAUUCUGAUGAACCCACUAUGCAUGUUUCAUAAGAGUGUCAUGCACAUUAAAUAGGGUGACACAUAAGCAAAAUUGCUGACUUGACAGGAUCAUUAAAUGAAGGAGUUUCAUAAGAUGAGAGAGAAGUUUCAUCCCCAUGAAACUCAUCUGGCUCGGUUAGUUUAGAGUCUUGGUAACUGCGCCAUGAAACUAUGCAUUGAGACUGGCCUAAAUGAUCCGAACAUUGGAUAAAAUAUGAGAUGUCUUUCCCUAGGAUAUACUUUUAAUAUGGUAUACAUCUGAAUGGAUGUGCGGAGAAUGUCAUUAAUAUUCCUCCAUUGUAUAUAAAUAGCUUUUAUAAACACAUGCGGCAUAUAGUUUCAUAAAAAAGAUGAAAAAAAAAAAACAAAUCACACAACUCCACCCGGAAGAUCGACGAUCCUUACUACUCCCCUCCCCUCCCCUCUGCGCCGCCAUUCUGGUCCGGCACAGGUGGAGCAGCACGCCGGCACUUCCCCUCCCGGAGCGGGCUUCUCAGGUUCGCCGCUUGUACAUCUGCUGCACCUUCAUCCUGUUUGAUCGAAAGCCGUCGCCUUUGGUUUCGUUUGAUCUGUUUCCUCCGUGAUUUUUGUUACGCUCUAGUCAUGCUCUAUUAAUUGUUGCCUUUGAAGGCUGAUGAAGCAGGCUCCUGGUUAGGUCGUUCGCACAGGAUUUGGUAGUCGGAUCUCUUUGCUGCCUUCUUCUGGAGGUACUCUUUCUUCGUUCUUCGUACUUAUAUAGAUCUAUAUAUAUAUAUUCUGUCGAACUGAAUGCUUCCCGGCCGGCCGAUUACUAAUUUCUUUCUUUUUCCCCAUUGUUUUGUUCCCCAAUUGACAGAUUUUUCAGAUCGAACUUGGACUUGACGUCCGAUCAACCAUGAGCGGCCUCUCCCGGCGUUUUCUGAAUCUGAUCGUGCGAAGCCACGACUCAGCCGUUAGAUCGCUGCGCUGCAUCGACCUGAAGCGCCUUCAACUCUUUUAUCCAACGAUACCACCACGAACGCCGCCGCCUACUACCAUGGAGACCUUUGGGCUUCCCUCUCCGAACCCCAACUUCCAGGCCUGCAGCGCGGAUGCUGUGGACCAGCAGGGAAUUGCCUGCUACACACUUGCACAAGGAAAGGUGCUCUGCACGGAUCAGUGUCGGCGCAACUUUCUCUAUGAUGCCAGCACGCACCAAGUGACAACUAUGCCCGAGUUCCACAGGCCUAGGUUGAAUUCCCUCUCGCUCUUCAUCCCCAGUGGCGAAGGCAAAGACAAAGACGACAACGACCGUGGAGAGGGGGCCGACGAAGACCGAUGUGGAGGCGAAGGCAGUCUCUUUCUGAUGGACAAGAUUCUCCAACCGGUAACAAGAGGCGACAUUGGGCACCCAACCGGUGAUCUCGAGGUCUUGUUCUACGGUAAUGGCAAUGGCGGCAUAACGUCGCACUGCAAACUGUUGCCACCACCACCCGCCUACGACUGGAAUGCGCCUUCUAAGAUCGGUUCCUAUGCUGUGGUUGGCAAUGGCUCUCAUGUUUGCAUAUCCGUCAAUGGCAGAGGCACCUAUUUCUUGGACACGGCGAGGCACACAUGGGACAAGGUCGGCGACUGGACUCUUCCCUUCCUUGGCAAGGUUGAGUAUGUGCCUGAGCUUAAACUCUGGUUUGGCAUCUCUGCCUAUGACCAGCAUUUGGCUGCUGCUGACCUCUCCACCACAGACUCCCAGCCACAGCUAGUUCACGGUUGGAAGGAGUUUCAGCCCCCAGAAGAAUGGUUUCAAGUUGGAGACCCUCAACUUGUGAACCUUGGCUCAGGCAGAUUUUGCAUCGCAAGGUUCUUCACAAGUUUCUUUGAAGAUGACUAUGCCCAGGAGGUUUCUGUCUUGACCGGUCUGGAGGUGGUCCUGCGUGAACUCAAUGGCAAUGGUAAAGUGAAACUCGAAAUGGUCCGUCACAAAUCGAUGCGUCACACCUCUAUUCCUGGCUGCCGAAAUUCCAUCCAUUUAGUGUUCUAAUGAGUCUGGGGCUUUGCUUCCAAACUCUCUUAUCACCAUGUGCGCUCUGGAUGAUUCUAGGACAGGACAGUUAAUACUGACUAUGUGUGCUUUUGUAUUUUUCUUUUAAAUUUUAAGGACUUGCAUGUGAAGUCUCAACGUUGACUGUUAAUUUAGUUGCAUGUAUUCUGAUAUAAGCUGGUUUGUGAUGUGAUGUCUGUUCACCACUUUGAGCAAAGCCGGGGUAAACAAAUACGUCUUAUUUAGACAAUAUUUAUCUAGAUGCAUAGUAGAAUGUAUAUACUAAAAUAUGAGGAUUGACCUAUAGAGGAUAAAUAAAAGUUUUUGUGAACUGAUAAAUGAUCUGAGUGCUGGAUAAAAUAUGAGAUGUCUUUCCCUAGGAUAUAUUUUUAAUAUGGUAUAUAUGAAUGGAUGUGUGGAGAAUGUCAUUAAUAUUUUCCUCCAUUGUUUAUAAAAAAUAGUUUUUAUAAACACAUGCGGCAUAUAGUUUCAUAAAAAAGAUGAAGAAAAAUAAAUCACACAACUCCACCUGGAAGAUCGACGAGCUUUGGGCUGGACAUUGAGUCGUUCACGCCGCCGACGUGCUUUGAUGCUACUGAGGUGUGGCUUCGGCCCGUUCGGAGAGGCCCACGGUCCACACUUUGAAGACGAGUAUACACCAAAGGGAAUUUUACAUAUUUAUAAUUAUAACGGAUGACACUUAUUAAAAUUGCACUCUUAUAAUGGCGUUUACAUAUUUAAUAGUUUUAAAUCGCAUGUUUUUACCAUAUUUGCCUACGUGGCAUGCCAGGUGGGACUGACACGCUCAAGCACAGCAAAUACGCGAAAUGUCCUUGUUACUCCUGCCUUGCUCCUCUCUCUCCCUCUCCGAGCUGAGUCCCACCACUCGUGUCACUGCCAAAUGGAGACCUCCAGCCAAACAAUCAGGCAACCAAUCCAAAGGUGAGAGAUCAAUCCACCUGCCGUCCAUGUACUCCCGCAACGGGUCCAUGCUGCCGUAGUACAUGUCAUCCCGGGGCAUCCCGCCCAGCGACGCCACCAGCUGCGGCAGCCAGAGGAAGAUAUCGUCAUCGGCAUUCAUCACGUAGUCGUACGGCUCGUCGACGUAGAGCCGUGCCACCGUGGACAGGAACCUGUACGUCUUCCCGUCGUUGAGGUUCUCCUCGCAGCCGUCGAGCACGAUGACGUCGUCGUGGGUGAGGAUCCUCGAGCGGCACCAGUUGAAGCGGAUGUCCACGUGCACGUGCGUGGCCAGGGGGUCCUCCUGCGACGCGAGCUGCCGCCCGUACACCAUGCGCGCGCAGCAGGUGCCGCCACUCGAAUAUGUCCGCGCGGGUCAGCACGCUGAUGAGCAGCCGGAAGUCAGGCUUCCGGCGGACCACAGCAACGCCCGUCUUCGCCGGCUCCGCCGAGGGCGGGCCGCACGCGCUUAGCAUCGCCUGCAGGUGGAGGGCUUGAUGCACGGUGCACGAUGUGGCGCCGAUGGAGAUAAGCGAUGCCCGACAGCACCUGCCGCGCCACGCGUGCGUCAGGAAGUGCUCGUCCAUGAUGUGGUGGUUCUUCAGGGAUCCCCGUCCAGUAGGAUCUGGAGCUCGCCGGCCUGCUCGUACAUGUCGUGGCACCGCACCACGACGAUGCUCGAUGGUGCCGAGGAUGGCGAUCUCACGCAUGAUCUACCGACGCUGCCCCGACUGAAACAGGCAAGCACCCGGUUGAGCACCCGUGGCGACGGCGGCACUGCGAUGCACGGGUCCACCAGGUCCUCUACGCUAAGCCUGGGCAUUCAGGUUACCUGAUUUUUUCGUGUCGGGUAAUUCGGGUAAUUCAAAUUGUUACCCGAUAUUAGUUCCGAAAAAACACUACCCGCAAUUUCGGGUACCCGCUAAUUCGGAUUCGGGUUCGGGUAUUCCCGAUUUACCUGAAUUCAAAAAACAACACACUAUACAAAUUUUCAAUAGUAAUUUAUAUAUAAUUUCAGCAACAAUUUGUAUAGAAUUUCAAUACCAUUUUGUAGAGAAUAAUAUACUACUAUCAUUUGUUUAAACAAAGAGAAUUAUAUUCUAAUAAAUUGAUAAAUUCUAAUAUUUAACUAACAACACAUGAUAAAUACAGAGAUAUAGACAAAAAUUUGGGUAAUUCGGGUACCAGAGGAUAUUACUCGAAUUACCCAAAUUAAUUUCGAGUAAUCAAAAUCACUAUCCGAAUUUAGGAUCGGGUACCUUGGAUUCGGGUAAUUCGGGUUCGGAUCCGGGUAAUUCGGGUACGGGUAAUGGGUAUCGGGUAAUUUGCCCAGGCCUACUCUACGCGUCGGCUGCCCUUGAACCACUCCACCAGGUUCACCUCGUCGGUGCCUUGAACCACUACCGACUGGAGGUGGAAGACGGCGACAAGUGAGGCCCACCUAACCGUGAUAAGAGUGGCGGGACCUAGCUGUCAGAGAGGGAGAGAGAGGAGCAAGACAGGGUUAGUAAAGACAUUUCGCAUGCCUCUGCUGAUUGUACUUGAACGUACGUGUCAGCCCGACCUAACGUGCCAAGUAGGCAAAUGUGGUAAAAAUAAAAGACGUGCAACUUAAAACUAUUAAGGCCUUGUUUCGUUCCCAAAAAUUUUUAAGAUUCCCCGUCACAUCGAAUCUUUGUACGCAUGCAUAAAUCAUUAAAUGUAGACGAAAAUAAAUACUAAUUACACAGUUUACCUAUAAUUUGCGAGAUAAAUCUUUUGAGCCUAGUUACUCCGUAAAUGGACAAUAAUUGUCACAUACAAACGAAAGUGCUACAGUAGCCAAAGCCAAAAAUUUUCGCGCACUGAACAAGGCCUAAUAUUUAAGCGCCAUUAUAUCAUCCGUUAUAAUGGUAAAUAUAUAAAAUUCUAGUUCCCAAUAUCCUUACUACCCCCUCUAUAGGUAGCCAUGCAGCCCGAGACACGACGACUCGGUCCACGGCAUGACAUUUUGGCCCGGCCCGAGCACGGCACGACCCGGUAACUCGUGGGCCUGGCCCGGUGGUGCGGGCCGUGCUUGGGCCGAUGUCUGAGCCUGCGGGCUGGCUCGGCCUGGCCUGAGUUUUAGGAGUUGUCGUGAUAACGGUUUGGUGCUACCUCCGCAGACAUUGCACAAACAUCUCAUUUUUAUGUUACAUGUCUUUUGAUGUUAUUUAUAUGAUUUAAGACUGAGAUUGUAAAUCUGAGAAGUUGAGAGUUGUAAAAAAUUGAUUGUAGUAUUAUGUUGGUGAAGUGAUCAUUGUCAUUGUGUGGUUAUUUUAUUUAUUUCUUUUACAAAACCAGGCUAUGGGCUGACCCGGCCCGUCGGGCUACGCGGGCCGGCACGGCAUGAAGUCAGCCCGUGGGCCCGCUCGUGUUUGGGCCGAAGGCCAGGCACGCGGGCCGCUAAGGCACGCACGGCAGGCACGCGGGCCAAGUCGGCACGGCACGCUACGCCCGUGCCUGUCCCGGGCCCGGCCCGGCCCGAUGCCCAUCUACAACCCCCUCUCGUCACCUCUGCGCCGCCAUUCUGGUCCUGCACAGGUCGAGCAGCAGGCCGGCACUUCCCCUCCCGGAGCGGGCUACUCAGGUUCGCCGCUUUGUACAUCUGCUGCACCUUCAUCCUGUGUUUGAUCGAAAGCCGUCGGGUUUGGUUUCGUUUAAUCUGUUUCCUCUGUGAUUUUUGUUACGCUCUAGCAUGCUCUAUUGUUGCCGUUGAAGCCUGAUGAAGCAGGCUCCUGGUUAGGUCUCGUUCGCACAGGAUUUGUUAGCCGGAUCUCUUUGUUGCCUUCUUCUGGUAUAGAUCUAUCGUAGUAGGCGUCGUUGUCGAACUGAAUGCUUCCCGGCCUAUUACUAAUUUCUUUCUUUUCCCCAAUUUGUUUUCUUCCCCAAUCGACAGAUUUUUCAGAUCGAACUUGGAGUUGGACGUCCGAUCAACCAUGGGCCUCUCGCGGCGCUUUCUGAACCUGAUCGUGGAAAGCCACGAGCCUGCCACCAAAUCGCUGCGCCGCAUCGAUCUGGAGAUCGAGCCUGCAACUCUUUUUUCCACCGCCAGCGCCAAUUCGGCGACCAACAACAAAGAUGGAGGACAUCCCGGUCCCGCUUCCCGACCCGAUGUUGAAGUUCGAAGCCCACAGCUUUAGAGGUACAGGCGAUCUGUGGAGCUUAGCCUGUUACCCAUUUGGACAACGGAAGGUACUCUCCACGGACCAGGCCGGGUCAACUUCCUCUACGACCUCGACACGCGCGACAUGGCGGCCAUGCCCAGCUUCCGCAAGCCUAAGUUGCGCGGUUGCCUCUCGCUCUUCGUCCCUGUCGGCGAUGGCGAAGACGACGACCACGAAGGCGGCGGUGGCGGAAGCCUAUACCUCAUGGUGAGGGAACUCCGAGAGGUGAGAAGGCACAAGAUUGAGGUUGGGCAGCCAAGCAUGGAUUUCGAGGUCUUGUUCUACGGCAAUGGCAGGACGACCUCGCACUGCAAACUCCUUCCGCUACCACCUUUCGUCCUUGAGCCCAUCCGCAAGAAUGAACUCCCCGAGAUCCGUUCCUACGCCGUCGUCAAUGGUGGCUCUCACAUCUGCGUGUCCGUCGACGGCAGAGGCACAUACACCCUGGACACGGCGAGCCACACGUGGGACAAGGUCGGCGACUGGACCCUACCCAUCCAUGGCAAGGUCGAGUACGUGCCGGAGCUCAAGCUCUGGUUCGGCCUCUCCGGCGAUGCCCAGCACUUGGCUGCUGCUGACCUCUCCACCAUGGACGCCCACUCCCCGCCGCAGCUAGCUGCUGGCCACGGUUGGGAGGAGUUCCAGCCUCCGGAGAAAUGGGCAGAACAAGGACUGCAAAUAGAUCAAGAGGAUGUUCAACUGGUGAACCUGGGCUCAGGCAGGUUUUGCAUCGCAAGGUUCUUCGAUCGUCGACUGGCGGGAGAGCCAUGACAGUGUCUUCUACUUUGUCGUCUUGACCGGCGUGGAAGUGGUCAAGCGUGUCCUCGACAAUGGUGAAGUGAAUCUUGAAAUGAUCCCUCACAAAUCCAAGUGUCAUCACAAGUCGCCUGUCGACGGAACUCACAUCGAGCAAUUGUUCUGAACAACCCAACUUUAUCACUAUGCAUGUGCCGUCUGAAUGAUUGUGUUGGGAUUGAAAAGUGAGGCAACUGAGGAUCCUGUACUACUUUGUAUAAGGUCUUGUUUAGUUCCGAAAAAAUUUCGGAUUUAGCUACUGUAGCACUUUCGUUUUUAUUUGACAAAUAUUGUCUAAUUAUGAACUAAUUAGGAUCAAAAGAUUCGUCUCGUGAUUUACAGACAAACUGUGUAAUUAGCUUUUGUUUUCGUUUAUAUUUAAUGCUUCAUGCAUGUAUGUACCGCAAGAUUCGAUGUGACGGAAAAUCUUGAAAACUUUUUGGAUUUCAGAGUGAACUAAACAAGACCUAAUUUUAAAACCUGCACAUCAUCAGGUCUCUGCGAUGUUGGUAACCGCGUAGCUCAUAGUAUUGUCUACUGCAAUGCAAUGGUACUUAAAUUGAGGCGGGUUGUUUGCUUGCAAUGUUAGAUUGUUAUUAUGGCGUUUGGUAAUCAAAUAGCUAGUCUAGGAGUUCUAUUGGCUACGAGGAUGUCUUUAAUAGCAAUUUGCAAAUAGCUAAAAAAAAUAACAUUUUCAUUGGCUAUCAAAAAGAGAGAUCAAAUAGCUAGCGACUUUUAAAUAACCUAUUUCGGAAUUAUUGAAAACGCCCUAUGUUCCCCCUUCAGUUUUCAGAAAGUCUUUUCGACGGGAUUCUGAAGCGCGGGGUGCUUGAUAGCCUUUCCAUGAACGUACGGCACCACAAGGCGAGGAGGCCAGCCAGGACAACAUGAUGCAACAGAUCAAAAUGGAGCACAAGGCGGACAGACAACUUUACACUACCUCACUGAAUAUCACUAGGCUUUCAUAUAGGCCUUGUUUACUUCCACCCCAAAAUCCAAAAUUUUUCAAAAUUCUCUGUCAUAUCGAAUCUUUAGACGCAUGUAUGGAGUAUUAAAUAUAGACGAAAAUAAAAACUAAUUACACAGUUUGGUCGAAAUGUACGAGACGAAUCUUUUGAGCCUAGUUAGUCUAUGGUUAAAUAAUAAUUAACACACACAAACGAAAGUACCACGACGGUGCUCGAUGGUGCGGAGGAUGGCGAUCUCGCGCAUGAUCUACCGACGCUGCCCGACUGGAACAGGCAAGCACCCGGUUGGGCACCCGUGGCGGCGGCGGCGUGGCGAUGCACUGGUCCACCAGGUCCUCUACGCGUCGGCUGCCCACCCUGCCCUUAAACCACUCCACUAUGUUCACCUCGUCGGCACCCUGAACCACUACCGGCUGGAGGUGGAAGACGGCUGACAAGUGAGGCCCACCUAGCAGUGAUAAGAGUGGCGGGACCUAGGAGGGAGAGAGAAGCAAGGCAGGGGUAGUAAGAACAUUUCGCGUGCUUGUGUUGACUGUGCUUAAGCGUGUCAGCCCGAUCUAGCGUGCCACGUAGACAAAUGUGGUAAAAAUGAAAGACGUACAACUUAAAACUAUUAAAUAUGUAAACGUCAUUAUAAAAGUGAUAUUUCGAUAAGUGUCAUCUGUUGUAAUGGUAAAUAUGUAAAAUUCCCGUUCCCAAUAUCCUUACUACUCCCCUCCCCUCCCCUCUGCGCCGCCAUUCUGGUCCGGCACAGGUGGAGCAGCAGGCCGGCACUUCCCCUCCCGGAGAGGGCUUCUCAGGUUCGCCGCUUGUACAUCUGCUGCACCUUCAUCCUGUUUGAUCGAAAGCCGUCGCCUUUGGUUUCGUUUAGUCUGUUUCCUCCGUGAUUUUUGUUACGCUCUAGUCAUGCUCUAUUGUUGCCUUUGAAGGCUGAUGAAGCAGGCUCGUGGUUAAGUCGUUCGCACAGGAUUUGGUAGUCGAUCGGAUCUCUUUGCUGCCUUCUUCUGGUAUAGAUCUUUCGUAGUAGGCGUCGCUAAUACUUCUGUCAAAGUGAAUGCUUCCCUAUUACUAAUUUCUUUCUUUUUCCCCUUGUUUUCUUCCCCAAUCGACAGAUUUUUCAGAUCGAACUUGGAGUUGACGUCCGAUCAACCAUGGGCCUCUCCCGGCGUUUUCUGAAUCUGAUCGUGCGAAGCCACGAGUCAGCCGUUAGAUCGCUGCGCUGCAUCGACCUGAAGCGCCAUCAACUCUUUUAUCCAACGAUACCACCACGAACGCUGCCGCCUACCAUGGAGACCUUUGGGCUUCCCUCUCCGAACCCCAACUUCCAGGCCUGCAGCGCAGAUGCUGUGGACAAGUGGGGAGUUGCCUGCUACACACUUGCACAAGGAAAGGUGCUCUGCACGGAUCAGUGUCGGCGCAACUUUCUCUAUGAUGCCAGCACGCACGAAGUGGCAGCUAUGCCCGAGUUCCACAGGCCUAGGUUGGAUUCCCUCUCGCUCUUCAUCCCCAGUGGCGAAGGCAAAGACGACGACAACUGUGGAGAGGGGGGCGACGAAGGCCAAGACGACGUCCGCGAAGAGCGCAGGGAAGACCAAGACCGACGUGGAGGCAAAGGCAGUCUCUUUCUGAUGGAGAAGAUUCUCAAACCGGUAACAAGAGGCGACAUUGGGCACCCAACCGGUGAUCUAGAGGUCUUGUUCUACGGUAAUGGCAAUGGCAGCAUAACGUCGCACUGCAAACUGUUGCCACCACCACCCGCCUACGACUGGAAUGCGCCUUCUAAGAUCGGUUCCUAUGCUGUGGUUGGCAAUGGUUCUCAUGUUUGCAUAUCCGUCGAUGGCAGAGGCACCUAUUUCCUGGACACGGCAAGGCACACAUGGGACAAGGUCGGCGACUGGACUCUUCCUUUCCUUGGCAAGGUUGAGUAUGUGCCUGAGCUUAAACUCUGGUUUGGCCUCUCUGCCGAUGACCAGCACUUGGCUGCUGCUGACCUCUCCACCACAGACUCCCAGCCACAGCUAGUUCACGGUUGGAAGGAGUUUCAGCCCCCAGAAGAAUGGUUUCAACUUGGAGACCCUCAACUUGUGAACCUUGGCUCAGGCAGAUUUUGCAUCGCAAGGUUCUUCAGAAAUGACUUUGAAGAUGUUGACUAUGCCCAGGAUGUUUCUGUCUUCACCGGUCUGGAGGUGCUCCCAUGUGAACUAAAUGGCGAUGGUAAAGUGAAACUAGAAAUGAUCCGUCACAAAUCGUUGUGUCACACCUCUAUUCCUGGCUGCCGAAAUUCCAUCCAUUUAGUGUUCUAAUGAGUCUGGGGCUUUGCUUCCAAACUCUCUUAUCCCCAUGUGCAGUCUGAAUGAUUCUAGGACAGGACAGUUAAUACUGAUGCUUUUGUAUAUUUUUUUAGAAAGGCUUUUGCCAUAUUUUUUAUUAGACGAUAGAAACAAAAAAAUUUUAAAAUACAACUGGACUACUCUUGCAAAUCAAACAACUACUACGACACCUGCUACUAUCGACAGAAAGAAAAUUAUUGCCCAUUAGCUACAUUAACACCAGUAGCCCGCUGAUAUUGGUCAAAUUCUUCCUUGCAUAAGAAGGCCACCUCCCUUGGUUGUAGGCUUUUGUUUUGGAAGGUUCUCUUAUUCCUUUCUUUCCAAAUAUUCCACCAAAAAUAAAUGAUCAGGCCGUCAAACCUCCUCCGAUUGACUAUCUCUAUUUGCUUUCAGCAUUUCUUCCAGUAAUUAUGAAGCAACCCCCUUGUAGCAAUUGUGUCCAAGGUAGAGAGUCCAUACCACAUUUUUAGACAUGACCAUACUUGGCUUGAGAAAAUGCAAUCCUUGCACAAAUGCGUGGGUGUCUCUGGUUCGGUGGUACACUGCUUACAUAUUGGAUCAUGUGGCCAAUUCCUUUUUUAGUAAGUUGUUCACUGUGAGGAUCUUCUUGUGGAGAAGUGUCCAUGCAAAAAAUCUGCAUUUUGGCUCAGCCUUGGCUUUCCAAAUUGGCAUAAUCCCUAUCUUACUGAAAGUCCCUUCAAACUAAAGUUGUAUGUGCUUUUAGCGGUGUACUCACCAUCAGAUGUCCAUCUCCAUGUAAUGGUAUCUUCCCUGCUGUUGUCUAGUUGGAUGGACUGUAGUAAGACAUAUUCUUUGAUUUCCUCUUGUGUUAAUAUAGGCUUGAUAUGUGAAAUCCAUUUAUUUCCUUUAAGUGCUUGAGAUACUGUGAUCUUCUUCCUUUUCGCCUUCUUUUAAAUUUUAAGGACUUGCACGUGAAGUCUCAGCGUUGACUGUUAAUUUAGUCGCAUGUAUUCUGAUUUCUGAUAUAAGCUGCUUUUGUGAUGUGAUGUCUGUUGACCGCUUUGAGCAAAGCCGGGGUAAACAAAUAUGUUUUGCUAUGUAUUUAGACAUUAUUUAUCUAAAUGCAUAGUAGAAUAGAUAUACCAAAAAAACGACUUAUAAUUUGAAAUCCAGAACAGAGGGAGCAUUAUAUUAGCCUAUAAUUUAUAUAACAUCUUGUUUUAUGCGUAAGUCCUCCAAUACUGAAGUUUCAAGAUUGUUCGUGUACAUCACCGCAAAGCUUAUUUCAUCGUUCUGGUGUUUUCGACCCAGCUAAGGUCUUGUUUAGAUUUAGGGGGCUAAUAAUUAGCACCUUGGAUCCAAAUAGGUAUAGCUAAUAGUUAAUUGAAUACCCAACUAACAAGUGUUUUAGGAAUGGUUCUCAAAUAGCUAAUCUAGGAGAAAUUUUAUUGGUUAUCAAUGACAAUUUGUAAAUAGCUAGUGAGAUGAGAUAUAUAAAUAAGAAAAAAUAAAUACUAUAAUGGAGAGUUAUGUGAGAGAUAUUUAUAAGAGAUCAUGCUAGAUUAGCUAUUUGUAAGUCGUUAGCUAUUUAGGAGUUGCUAGCUAUUUGAUCUCUCUUCUUGGUAGCCAAUGAAAGUAUUACUUUUUUUAUUAUUUUUAUACCUAUCUAGUUAGCUAUUUGCAAAUUGUUAUUAAAGACAUUCUCAUAGCCAAUAGAACUCCAUAUAAACUAGCUAUUUGAUUAUUAUUGGGGACGCCGUUAUUGGUUAGACCAAACUAGUUAAUAAUAGUAGGUAAUAUUAGCUGUGACCUAAUAGCUAGCUGUAGGUGUUAUUUAGCUAGGUACACCUUGUUUUCGCUGAAAUUUGACUUAUGCUGAUGCUUAUAUUGAUUUGUUGUGAGGAAAAAACACCGUUCGUUCAUCGAAAAAAAAUAUUAAAGUAGUUCAGCGUAGAAAUAUUUUAAAGUAUUUUUGUUGUCGGACCGAGCUUCUAGCUACAUCUACAUCAAUGUGUUGUUUGGUUCAACAUUUGUAAAUACAAUCCGUAUUUGGAAACUGGUUACGGAAAUGUGUAAUGGGCUAGAGUGGACUUUGGAUGAAAACGGAUUGGAUACGGACGGAUUUCACCGAUAUCAUAUUUGUUUUUAUAUUUUUGGUCGGAUUUAGAUUCAAAUACGAAUAAUGUCAAUCAUGUCGGAUAAGAUAUGAUUGGAUGUCGACAUCAUAAAUAUACGAUUUAAGUAUUCAGAUACGGAUACAGUAUCGGAUAUUGAAUAUUCGGACUUGGAUAUAGACAGAUUUGAACCCCUCUAAACGAAUUUGAUAUCGAAUAUGGUCGGAAAAUAUUCAUACCGUUUUCGUCGGUAUAAGACUGCCAUUGCAGUCGGCAAUGUCCACGCUACAAGAAAGCAAGCAAAGGAGUGAGCCAUCACCACGAGCACGAGCCAGAGCAAGCCAAAGCAGAUGCCAGUACGUCCCGCGUGUCCCGUGAACUCCUGAGGUUGUGGAUUCGUGUAGAGCAGUAAAGAGGUAUUUUGUUUUCUCAAAAUAUUUAUACCCUUGCAACGGGUGCAAAAUAAUACCUGCUAGGUUGUAAACCAUAAAAUACCGUCUCCUAAGCUUCUCACAACUGGAAUCCUAUUUAUAGGCCUUGUUCAGUUGGUAAAAUUUUAGGUGUCAUUAUGUUUGUGUUUUUGCAAUAUCCUAGUCACCUUAUGCUAGGUGUUGCAGAUCAAAUUGUAACAGACAUAGCUGGUCAGGACCUCAUAGAUUUAUUUGCCUUGUGUACCACAAAACACUAUCAUUACCAGAAGUAAAUUUCAUUGCCGCAUACAAAUUGUAAGAGACAUGGCACGACCGAUAUCCAGCUGACUAAAUGGCUAGUGAUCAAAGCAAAAUGAUGAUCCACGCAUUGUAUAAUCUAUAUACUAAUCAUCAAAUGAGGCAAUGUACAAAUCAAGAUAACCAUGCAUAUAAACUGUAUGGGAAAAUCAACUUAAUAAGAUAGCUUAAUAUAUGGUGUAAUAUGUAGCAUCACUGCAGGAGACAACACAAGAUUUAUCUAUUAUCUCACCAUGCUCACCAUACUCACUGUUUUAUCUAUCAUCUCACCAUGCUCACCAUACUCACUGUUUUAUCAUUAAAAGUCGGCUCCUACAGCCCAAAUUCCUCAAGCCCUGAGUAUGGUGAGCAAAGCACCAGUACUUAGUUAGAACAAUGCCUCGAUGCUAGUGUCGUUGACACGUCUUGAUCUGUGAGUGGUCAUUUGGAGUUCCAAUUCCCAUGUGCCACCUUCAGCUUUGCCCCUGCUAUUGACCUCGACGCCAGUCAAGACAGUAAAAUUUUUGUGGGCCACUCCAUCACUAGAGCCUGCAGCUUCUUGGAAGAACCUUGCAAUGCAGAACCUGCCGGAUCCCAGACUGACAAACUGAGGGUCCUUGCACUCCUUCCAUUCCUCUGGCAGAUCAACAAGCUCCUGCCAAGGGCCGGCCACCAGCCGCUGUGGCUGGGAAGAAGAAUCCAGCAUGCCAGAGAGGUCAGCAGCAGCCAAGCAGUGUCGGGCACCAGUGGAGAGGCCAAACCAGAGCUUGAGCUGAGGUAGAUACUCAACUUUGCCAUGGAAGGGGAGCGUCCAGUCACCGACUUUGUUCCACGUGUGGCUUUCUGUGUCGAGGCAGUAGGUGCCAACGCCCUUGACAGAUAUGCAAACAUGUGAGCCACCACCGACCACGCCAUAGGCUGUGAUCUCGGGGCAGUUGUUGUUGGACCAAUGAAUUGUCUCGUGUACAAACGGUGGCGGCGGAAGUCGAUGGCAAUGCCAGGAUUUGUCACUGCCGGGAUUAGUUGAACGGUGGUUGAUUAAGCCCACAAACUGCUCGCUCUCCUGCACACUGUCAUAAAACACAUGACCACCACCACUUCUGGCCUCUGGCUGGGGAACCUUCUCCAUGAGGAAGAGACUGCUGCCGUUACUAUAGUUGUCAUAGUUACCGUCGACCUGGGGCUUGUGAACGAAGACGGAGAUGGGCAUCACCUUGGGCGUGCGGAGUGGAGGGAUGGUUCCCACCUUUGGUGAAUCCAGGUCGAAGACGAAGCCGCGCCCUGACAGGUCCGCGCAGACAACCUUGCACUCGCUGUAAUCCGCAAGCGGGAAGCAGUCCAUCUUCCAGUCAUUCUUCAGAGCUCGGAAGGUGAAGCUCGGACCAAGAAACCGGACCGUCUCCAUCUCUAGAGCCGAGGGGCGAGAGAUGGCGUCUUGCGCUCCUGCUGCUGCUGGUGGUGGUGGUGCUGAUUCGAAUCCCACUGGGUAAAACAGCUCGUGGCGCGUCAGGUCGAUUCGGCGCAGCGAUUUGACGCCAGGGGUGCAGCCUGGCACGAUCAAAUUCAGAAACCGCCGCGCCAAGACACCCAUAUGUAGUCCUUGGUUCCAAUUUCAAGCUGCCUUACCGAUCCAUGGGAUGGGGAUCGAAAACGUGGAGGGAAAUUAGUUAGUGAAGAACGAGGAUUUGUUAUUCAAAAAAAAGAACGAGGAUUUAAUUUGUUGAUAAUCACAAAUUAGGUCUAGCGCAACUGUGUGAUUAAUGAAGAAGAACUCAAGGACGAGAGAGUACCUGCUACUACCAGAAGCUAGAUCAAUCAGAUAUGAAUCCCAAAUCCCUUAACUCGUCCUUUGCUGCAGCGCGGGGGAGGUAGCGAGGUCGGGACGUCUAGGGUUUAUUAAGUGUGGACCUCUGAAUUCUGAAACCCAUGCGUCCGUGCACGGUGCGUUGGGCUUGGGCGUUGCCUGCUUUGAAUGGGUCUAGUCCAGACGCUUAAAAUGGGCCGUCGUUUUAACCAGAUUCGCAAAGCCUUUGUCCUAAACUGAGAUAUUAUUCCUCAAAAAAAACUGAGAGAUUAAGGGGGGUUUUAUUUUAUCUCCUGCUAGUUAAAACCCUCCACGUAUCUUGUUUGACUACACUCACAUUUAUCUCAAUCCAUAUGCGUAAAAGUAUAUUAAGAUAAAAAUUAACUAGCUUUGAUCUCAAUUCACUUCAACACAUGUAAAUUGAAACAUGUACAAAUACAACAAAACAAGCCCUUAAUUAUCAUUUGUGCAGUUUAUUCUCCAUACCGAUUAAUUAUGCAACCUUCAAUAUACUCCAGCAGCUUGUUGUUAAACUGAGAUUCUGUAGAGUGAACUGUGAUUCGCAGAAAAACUGGAACCAAUAUCAAACUACUGGACGAAUCACAUCAGUACUCACAUGAGAGAUGAGACGUAUAGCUAAGAAACAACGUUCCAUUAGGCGACCACAUGGCAGUAUGUAUAUACAUUUUCUUUCAACAAAUAAAGACCAUUUAUGUACACAAGGUGAGGUCACAGAGUACAGUUAGUUCUGGUACAAUGAGCGGCAUAUCUACAGCACAAUUACAUGGCACGGUGUUAAUCCAUAUCGACUGCGCAGCUGCAUCGCAUUCCAUAAACCAAGCAUCGUCAGAAGGCUCCAUAGAGUUGGCUUCGGCUUGAAAUUGCUGCUGCUGAAGCACAAGUACACCUUCUUUCUGUAGGUUACCUAGCUUUGUUGUCUAUGCAGCCAGAAUUCAGAGCAGCAACACAUGUAGCACACUGUCAAAAUGGAAGAAUUUGACAGUUAACUUAGUCCAUUCUCCUCAAUGAUCAAACAUAGCAUAGCCGUGCCUCGGCGAUGUGCAUUAUGGGCAAAAACUUGCAUUACAUACCUCAUGAUUGGAAGAGAGUAACAGUUGCAAUAUAUCCAUUUUUCAUCACCUAAUAACCGAUAAAAUAACACGAUGUCACAUCUGAUAUACACAGGGAAAACAGAUUUGGAGUGUGAUCGAGUAACACCCACCUCGAAAGCAAUAUUCUGAUAUCCAUAUACAAAAGUCGAUCCAAAUGGAUUGUUCAUGGAGCCUUGUGUCUGGAUUGCAGCUCGGCCACAAUCACCGAGGAUCUCCUAAUACAGUAAAAACAAGGGUUGUUUAAAGGACAGAAAAAAAUUGGCAUAAAAGCAUGCAGUAAGAUAGCAUAUUGGCAUUUGGCACUCAAAGCGUUGCUUCAUUGAUAAUACAGCUUAGAGCAAUAUCUACUUAAAAGGUAAGUGCUCUAGAACAAGCAAAGGCAAAGCUGAAUUCUUAGUGCAAGAAAUUAGUGUGACUAUGCUAACAAACCAACUAUGCAAAAGAAAACCUAGUAGAUCAUUUAACCUUGAAUAAGUUUACCGUUCACUGUUUAAGAACUAAGAAGGAUGAAAAGGACUCGUGAAACAAGAUGCAAAAAGGGGUGUGCAAAAAUUGUUACAAAUGGCAUUUCAAAGCAAAGAUGGUAACUUUAGAACUACAUGGCAAAAAUCAAACGGCAUUCUGAAGCCAAAUAAGACAUCAAGGACUACCAGUUGUACCAUCAGCAGUGUUAAUAAGUCAUGUAAAACACCAUACCUUCACUUGUUCCCAUUUUGUACUAGGCGUUAUGCAAUUUUUCGAGACAUUACCAGGCUGAACUGUACCUUCAGCUGAAAAAAGACCAGAUGGAUGAUUGGAUUGGAUUAUUCCAUCACAACAAACUUUUUUUUUUAAUUACGAGUAGUUCAGACCUUCAGCGUCAUAUAUAACAAAGUUGCAUUUCUUAUAUGAGUUGAAAUCUGAAUGACCAGGGAAGUUUGUGUGCAAAACAAACUUCUUUAUCUUAUGUGUCUGCAAGGACAAUAAACUCUGUCAAUAUGCUAUUUCAAGUCCAAGCCAAUAAAAAAAAGCUAUUUACAGUGUUGCACAAUCCUAGUGUGAUGAAAUACUCCACACCUGUCCAUCAAAUAAGAUAUCAAUUCCACGCGAGAAGUAGUUGUAGAAGUAAUCACCACAAAGUGUUGUACGAGGCCGGGGUUCUGAUGCAGAGUGUAUGACCAUUUGAUCCACCUACAAGAUGGGAGAGCUAACAUAGUAAGCAUUCCAGUUGAGAAUGCACCAAUGAUUCCAGGGAGAAUGGCAUUCCUUCAUACUGAUCUUUACCAAGCAAAACUUAAUCAUAUGCUACAGAAAUACUGCUUAGUCUCACACUCUCAAUAGCUUUGUAUAGGCUAAAGUAUUAUCUACAUGCUUCCAUGAGUAAGCAAAAAAAAGUAAAUUCUCAUGGAAACCAAUUCAGUUUAGCUUAUGUCAUAUGUUACAUAAUGUUGGCAACUCAAAGAAAUACAUGUUAUGUGAAAUCUCUACUCUGGUGCCACAAUUAAAACUGACCUGCUUCUGAUGGAUACCACAAGGACGACCCAAGUCAGUCCAGACAUCCUGAAAAAAGAAAUUCAAGCAAAAGACAAAUCAGGGCCAAUGUUAAAGUUAAAUUUUACUUCAGCAAAUAGAUAUGAUAUGCACCUGUGGUGAUGCACCAAAAGGAAUAUGCUGCCCCCCUAUUGUGAACCAAAGUUCUUCUCCAAGCUGAAAACAGUACAAAAUUAUACACAUAUAAGAAAAUGUUUGCUCCAUUGGUAAGACUUGGUAAGACAAAACAACAUACAAAAAACCCCAAUUUAUUCAUAUACACGAAGAUACUAGUUAUUGUAUGAUUCUCCCUAAUGCAACAAAGCAAAAAAAAUAUUUUUUAUUCAACAUUAAAAAAGAGUCUCUAAAACAACCACACAUUGAAAGGCAUAUCCCACGACCAGCUUUUUCUUCAUUUUAUUUUUGCUUAAUAGGUUCAUACAUUUCCUAAGCAAAGAGGUGCAUGGGUGGGUGGGGACAGGACUGGAGAGCUAAGAGGUCAAACUAGAUAGUCUGGAUCACUUGGAUUAUGAAGCAUCAAAAUAUGUCUUCAGCUUCAACAAAACCAGUAAGCCAGAAACAUUGUCAAUAAACCAAAAACAUAGCAUACCUUGGCGUGCACCUCCUCCAUAUACAGACUGCCUGCAGGCAGUGCAGGUACCACUGCUUUGUCCAUCAAAGAUCCAACCCCGACCUUGCUAUCUGUCGAGCUGUCGUAUAUACAAACCUGGCAAGUAACAGGGGUCGUUCCGUCUGGGAAUUCCAGGGGCAAAUCUGCCACUGCCAUAGCAAUUACAGAAGUGGGGUAAGAUGCCACAUAAAUAUGGGUACUAAUAGAAUAGAACAUUCACAACUGAAUUGGCUCUAAGGUAGAAUACCUUCCCCAUUGGUGAAUAGAUUUGUAUAUUGGCUGGGAAUAGGGAAUGCAAAGGAUAAACCCUACAAAAAAGCUUACCAGUAAGACAAACCCACCAACAGACCAAGAGAAAGAAAACAAGAUGAACUGCAAAAGAGGGAAGAAAAACAGAGCUAUUUUCAUGACAUACUGGGUAGAACAACGUAUAAAUACCCCUCUCUUUGUCAUAUAUACCAGGGAAAGUAGGUCCAAAGAGUGCAUACACAGCUGCAAAAGUGGCUAAUGUUGACGGGCCACUGAAAGUGAAAAAGAAAAUAAUCAGUAACACCACACAACCUUGUGCUGAAGGGUUAGUAACUGAGCGCAACAACAUAUCUGAACAGGGUUUAUUUGAGUACUUCCACUGUUUCACACAGAUUUAACAAUGAAAGAUCAUGGUCACAAGAUCCUUACCCAAUUAAAGCUGUCGCAUAUCGCAAUUGCAAUCUCUUAACAUCAUAAAUUUCUACAAGACGGAGUCUCUGCAAGGAUAAUACAAACCAUAUAAGUUUAGUAAUUUCUGAAGCCUGAAAACAAGUGUCAUUUCCACACAGCACACAUUCUCAAAUAUUCUUUUCCCCAUACAUAAAUCAGAAUUAUUAACCAUGAUGAGUUCCUUUUCUCAAUUACCCUCAUUAUAUUUCCUAUAUUUCAAGCAUAACAUACUCACACAUAACAGCAGCAAACCCUUUUAGCCACAAGAGUUGGGGUAGGGUAAUGCAUAACACACCCCAGUUUGAGUUUGCAAAAGUGGUCCACUAUAGUCUUAAUUAAUCGCCGUGAGCAACUGAUUUCUCAUGCAUUCAACGCUGGCUGUUUCAAAACAAAAAAUGCCUAAAAUGUAACAAAAACUAGCCCAAGUAUACCUGCGACCAAGGAUCAAAGCGUAGGUGAAAUCCAUGGUCCGGAAAGCUAAUGACAAAGUCCAGCUUGAGAGGCUCCUGAAAACACAACCAACAACACCGAUCAGUUAAGAAUAUUUUGGUAUCCCUGGACCCUGGCAUCCGACAAACUCGUGCACCUCGUCGAAGUACUUCACGUGGACAACGUCGUAGAUAUUUGGCUGGCGCUCUAUCUGCGCAAACGCAUCGGAGAUCGGCAUCCCUGCACCGAUUGCGACCUCCCAUGUCAGAAUUGGCUCAAAGUUUGAAAAAUUUAACUAACCUCUUGCUUAAAGUCCUUUUUUUCCCUCCCGUCCAAACCGAGAGGAAAGCAAAGGAAGCAACCAACGACCGCCGUUUCCUGCCGAGGCGGCGGGCGGUGGGUGGUUAGGGUUCUCACCGAGGGUGAAGGGGCCGACGCCGAGGCCGGGGCGGAGGUCAAGCGUGAUGGCUCCCAUGGCCGUGCCCUCGCACCGCCGCCGCACCGGCACCGUUCCCUGGGACGGCAUCCCAACCGCCGCCCCCGCCGCCACGGCGCCGCCACCCCCGCUAUCGACGGUGACCUCUGCGCCUGCAUCCUGUGUACACUUUUUCCUACUACUUACUACUGAGGUGUGGCUUCGGCCCAUUCGGAGCGGCCCACGGCCCACUUUGAAGCCGAGCAUGAGGUUCCUCCACAUUAAACCCUAGAUAGACUAGAUGUCCAGUUCCCAAUAUCCUUACUACUCCCCUUCCCUCCCCUCUGCGCCGCCAUUCUGGUCCGGCUCAGGUGGAGCAGCACGCCGGCACUUCCCCUCCCGGACCGGGCUACUCAGGUUCGCCGCUUGUACAUCUGCUGCACCUUCAUCCUAUCUGAUCGAAAGCUGUCGCCUUUGGUUUCGUUUAAUCUGUUUCCUCCGUGAUUUUUGUUACGCUUUAGUGAUGACCUUUGAUUUUGUUACACUUUAGUGAUGACCUUUGAAGGCUGAAGCAGGCUCCUGGCUAGGUUGUUCGCACAGGAUUUGGUAGUCGGAUUUCUUUGCUGCCUUCUGCUGGAUUGAGGUAGUCUUUCUUCAUUCCUCGUAUCUUCUGGAUGUAGCGUAGGCGUCGCUAAUACUUCUGUCGAACUAAAUGCUUUAUAUUACUAAUUUCUUUCUUUUCCCCCUUGGGUUUUUCCUCCCCAAUUGACAGAUCAGAUCGAACUUGGAGUCGACGUCCGAUCAACCAUGGGCUUGUCGCGGCGUUUUCUGAAUCUGAUCGUGCAAAGCCACGCGCCAACCAUUAGAUCGCUGCGCUGCAUCGAUCUGAAGCGUCUGCAACUCUUUUACCCAACCCCACCGUCACCAACCAACCCCGCCGCCAAUACCAUGGAGACCUUUGGGCUUCCCGGACCAACUCCGAUCUUCCGAGCCUGCGAUUCGGAUGCUGAUUGCCAGUGGAGAGUUGCUUGCUACCCACUUUCACAACGGAGGGUGCUUUGCACAGACCAGUGUCGGCGCAACUUGCUCUACGACGCCAGCACGCACGAAGUGGCAGCUAUUCCCGAGUUCUACAGGCCUAGGUUGGAUUCUCUCUCGCUCUUUGUCCCGGCCAGCGGCGAAGGUGAAGAGGGCAACAAAGAUGAAAAGGACCGCCAAGAGGGCAGUGAAGACGAAGACCAACAACGUGGAGGCGGUGGUGGCAGUCUCUUUCUGAUGGAGAAGAUUCUCCGACCGGUAACUGGUGAUUUAGAGGUCUUGUUCUAUGGCAAUGGCAGAAGAACCUCGCACUGCAAACUCUUGCCACCUCCGCCCUAUAUCCAUGAGCCCUCCAAGAUCGGGUCUUACGCUGUGGUUGGCAAUGGCGCUCAUGUUUGCAUAUCGGUCAAUGGCAGAGGCACCUAUUUCCUGGACACAGCCGGGCACACAUGGAACAAAGCUGGUGACUGGACUCUUCCCUUCCAUGGCAAGGUCGAAUAUGUACCUGAGCUUGAACUCUGGUUUGGCCUCUCCGCCAAUGCCCAACAAUUGAUUGCUGCUGACCUCUCCACCACGGACUCCCAGCCACAGCCAGUUUACAGUUGGAAGCUGUUUCAGCCUCUAGAAGAAUGGAUCGAACACAAAGACGCUCAACUUGUGAACCUGGGCUCAGGCAGAUUUUGCAUUGCAAGGUUCUUCAAACAUGACUUUGAUUUUGUUGAACAAGAUGACUCUCCCCGUGAUUGUAUUGUCUUGACCGGUUUGGAGGUGGUCCCGCGUGUCCUCAAUGGUAAAGUGAAACUCGAAAUGUUCCAUCACAAAUCGAUGCGUCACACGACUUUGCCUAUCUAUGGAAAUUCCGUCGAUUUAGUGUUCUGAUGAAUAAAUUUGGGGAUUUGCUUCCAAACUCUCUUUUAUCAUCAUAUGCGGUCUGGAUGUCUCUGGGACUGCUAAUUUCCUCUGCGUGAUUGUGUAUACUUUUAAAAUUUUAAGGAUUAUAAGUACUUGGGUAUGAAGUCUCAGCGUUGACUGUAGUCGCAUGUAUUCUGAUAUAAUACACCCAUUAUUUAGCGUUGGACAUAGAGCCUCACGCCAGUUAUGCACUUCAAUUUCCUUUGCUACAACAAUGAAUGCCAGUAAUAAUAAUGAAUGUUAUAACCUCUUAGUUCUAUGUCCUUGUGUGAUUACAAAUCGAGUCUGAAAGUUUUAUAUUUUGGCCUUGUUUAGUUCACCCAAAAAUCUAUUUUUUUUAAAAAAAAAAAUUCCAUCGUAUCGAAUCUAGCGGCACAUGUAUGGAGCAUUAAAUAUAGAUUAAAAAAUAACUAAUUAUAUAAUUUGUUUUUAAUUUGCGAGAUAAAUUUUUUAAACCUAGUUAGUCCAUGAUUGGACAAUAAUUGUCAAAUACAAACGAAAGUGCUACAAUAGCCAAAUUUAAAAAGUUUUUUUAUCUAAACAAGGCGCCUUUCUUGUCAGGUUAGGUUUGUACGAUUGGCAAUUUUUUUAUAAGGGAUACUGUAGUGUACAACCGAAAUUUAUUCUAUAAGAAUGUGGCCUUCUCCACUGCUCCUUUUGUUUGUCACAUAUUAAAUUUAGUCUUCGACGGUCGUGAUGAUUGAUCAACAACAACAACAAGGAACUCAUGAGAGAAUACCUAAAGAGCUCAGAUCCGUUGUCAACAAAUUAGAGAUAAGUAAAAGUAAUUAUUCCCUAGAUUAUCAUUUGAUAAGAGUACAUGACUGCACGCGAGAAAUGGUCAGCAAAAUCAGAUUAGACAGUGUGCUUUCAUGCUUGUGUUAGGUGCUUGCAUCAAUUGUAUUAAAGGGAAAUAGGCCUUGCCCAUGGCUGCAAUUUAUAAUACGUUUUUGUAAUAACAAGUUCAGCAAUUAGAUAUCAGUGUGUCCCAGUGCGUCAACUACAAUAAGCUUGUCCAGUAUCCAUAAUUAAGGCCUUGUUUAGUUCACCCUGAAAACCAAAAAGUUUUCAAGAUUCCCCGUCACAUCGAAUCUUGUGGCACAUGCAUAAACAUUAAAUAUAGACGAAAACAAAAACUAAUUACACAGUUUAGCUGUAAAUCACAAGACGAAUCUUUUGAUUCUAAUUAGUCCAUGAUUGGAUAAUAUUUGUCACAAACAAACGAAAGUGCUAAAGUACCGAAAACUUUUCACUUUUGGAAACUAAACAAUGCCUAAAUAAAAAAUUAUACAUACUAGUUUUAUUCAAAUAUUUGGUUUGUGAUUGAAUUUUAUUCUCACCAAACAAACAUCCAUGCCAAGGAAAUAAUUUCUCUUUUAAAAAUAUGUUAACAUUGUGAAUGCUACCUAACUUUUUUUCAUGAAUCUGGAAAAGGACUCCAUUUUUUAAAAGUGGAGCAACAACCUUAACAUUGCUUUAGGGAUUUCUUUUAUCUCUUGUUUAAAGCAUCUACCUGCACACAGGAUAUAACAUAAGCAACAAGGAUGCACAACCAUUGUGCAGAUAGAUAAGGCAAAAAAAAAACGUACGAAAGUAACAUCCUGAGCCACACCUCUCUAAAAAGGUAGCUUGUUCCCAUUGUAUGUGCACCAUUCAGACCUUUUAUAACACUACUAUUUUCCAAGAAACAUAUUAUAACAAUGGCUUUUCCACGACCCAUAUUCGAACAAAUCUUUAUAUAUGUGAUAUAAGGUCUUAUUUAGUUGGUGAAAAAUUUUGGGUUUGACUGCUGUAGCAUUUUCAUUUGUAUUUAACAAUUAUUGACCAAUUAUGAACUAAGUAUGCUCAAAAAUUUUGUCUCGUAUACAAACUGUUUAAUUAAUUAUUUUUAUUUAUAUUUAAGGCUCCUUGUAUAUACCGCAAGAUUCGAUGUGACGGAAAAUCUUGAAAAGUUUGUGAAUUUUUGCUCCAACUAAACAAGGCCUAAUAAACUGCAGGUCAAAAAAUGAAGAACCCAAACCACGUGCUCAAAGCACUAGACAUGGGACCGAGCAUAUAAUAUUAUUAGAAACCUAAUGCAAAAUUUUUAGAAUUAUUGCUAGCAUAGAUUAAGCAUGAAAAUUCAUACAAGUUCACGAAUUAUCCAUUUUUAACCAUUUUAACUAAUUUAAGAAUAUAUGAAAAUCAUAUGAACUAUGUGAACUAAUUAUACUAGUAGAUAGAUCAUGAUUUUAGGAAGCUAAAAAAUUGGUUUCACUAUUUUUGGACAUCCACAAAGUUUUAUAUUGAAUUUACAAUUCUGCUGCAGAAACUAAUUUAGCAAAGCUUUCUUUUUUUGAGAGGAAUUUAGAAAAGCUUCCUAAAAAGAGAAAAGCCCGGGCGUCCCAUUUCUGCCCCAGCGACCUGGCUCAGCCCAUGCGGAGGAUCAGCGCGCGCGGCAGACCGGCCCAACAAGCGAUCCGCUGCAGGGUUCCCACGCGCGUGAUUGCAUGUUUUCCAAAAGAGCCCCUAAUCACAGAUAUUAUUUCGCGAUGCCUCUUAGCACUAUUUCGACAAAGACGCGUUUUGCAGAAAGGACCCUGCAACUCGUCAUCUUCACCAAGGUGCAGUCCUUGGCGUGCACGCGAGCACCGGCGUGGCACACCAGUGACCAUGCCGCCCACGCCAGUCACCCGGGAGCCAUGGUGACCCCAACGCAAGGACGACCACCAUCAAGGGUUCCCUUAGUGACGAUUGGAGGAGACAGCACGCAGAGAGAUGCUCUCAGGUAUGCUACAGCAGGAGGCGGCUACUCGAGGCGGCGGCGCAACUGUUCCGGUGAACCUACGAGCUUUCGGAGACGUAGCGAUGGAGCGCGAGCAACGAGGACACACCUGGAAACACGUCGUGGUGACGAUUGGGGCCAAAGAGGGCCGAAGCGGCCUGCCCACGUGCGGGCCGCAGAGACGACGACGCUCCGUGGCUGGCACGGCCGCGUCACCACGCCUCCGGCCGGCGUCCUGGACAAACAGGGUGAGCACGGGGUAGAGGAGGUUAAGAAAAACUCAGGGACCAAAGUAAUCGAACCCUGAGGCCUUACCCACAUCCCUACCAUCACGGCGGCGCUCAUGACCGGCGAUGACCGAAACGCCAAAUUGGCGACUGGUAGCGCGUGACCUUGCCUGGGACCGUGCCGAGCUACGAGCUAGCUACCUUUACUUUCUGCUAGCGCGAGGGUUCGAGCCGCGAGGCUUUGAGCACGGUGAAUUGGAGAGGGCAGGGAGGCGGGCGGUCUCUGCUAUGGUUAUGCCGAGGAGCGGCAGGAGCUGAGCAGGGCGGGGCAGGGAGACGUCGAGUCGCCACUUGUGACCAGAGGCAUCACUCACACCGCGACGGAGGAGCGAGUGCCACAUCGGCCGUCAGUGCACGAGCCAGACUCGUCGUGGCCAAGCACGACCGCUCGGAUCACGUGGUGAUCACGCCCACGAGGCCGAACGACUGGAACAACGUCACGCACGCAUUUUAAAUCAGGUUAAAAACUGCUAACGUUCUCGAUUGAGGUUCAACUAACUUUACUACCUUCAAGUCAACACUGUCAGCAACCGAACAAGGUUGUCACUCCGAUCUAAGAACUACCAGAGAUGGAGAUACGCGCAUGUCAACCUAACCUUGCCACUGGAACACCGGUUAGCGAACAGAGGAUCUCUGACAAGGUUCCGAUGCGUUCUAGCUAACUUCGAGCAAUUUUUAAGAGGUCAAAACUACACUCAAAACCACCACGACCUACACCAACCUCAAGAGCUCACCUAGGUGCAACCAAUGAAGUGAAAACAUGAUAUAAGCGUUUAAUCAUUUCUGUUAGAAUUUAAAUGCCAAAAGGGGCAUUGUUUAUUGUCGAUACGGACUUCGAAUUUCCAGGCCGCGGCUAAACCUAUCGCUCCCUAGCACUUUUGCCUAACAUUUUAGAAGGUCGCAACGUUGCUAGUUUCAUCUAACGAACAUACUGCGACGUAGCCCGCACUUCGUACUAUGCGGCAGAAGCGAAGCUUAUAGACAUUGUUUAAUUAUUCUUCACAAGAUAAUUCUCUAAAAACUGUACUUUCUAAUCAUGAACUAUGUGCCCUUGUGUUUACAAAAAUUGUUUUUCAUACCGAACAAAAGUUAAAACAUCGGAGUUUGACUCAUUGAUUUCUUUUAGGUUUUAAGCAAGGUGCUAACACAGCGACUGGCACAGCCCCCCCCCCCCCCCCUUGUCGUUGCGGGUUAGUCCGAUCGGCUCCGUGACAUGUGGCGGUGACUGGCACUGCUAGUGCAUGCCUCCCACCUCUGCGGCGACUCCGACAAUGGCUCCGCGCUGGUACCCCUUCCAUCCAUGACAUGGACGCUUACGGUGCGCGCCUCCCACCGUCACGGGCGAGCCCCCCUCGCCUUUCGCUGUCGUGGGCGGAUAAAGAAGCACUUGCAAAGGUUCUGGACGAAAACUCAGCUCAGAUCAUGUUUGGGCUAGUGACGAGAUUUCCUCUUGAAGGCGUCACUGAAGAACCCUAGCAACUACCUCUUGUAGAUCGGCCCCUUAAAAUGCAGCUCCUCGUCGAUACAAGGCUCAGGCGAGAGCCUUGUCAAGCUUCUGCUUGGCUCACGAUGAUUACGUUCUGGCAUCAUUCACCUCCCUGUGAGUAUCUUCUGCUUGGCUCACGAUGAUUACGUUCUAGCAUCAUUCACCUCCCUGUGAGUAUCGUUAAAGAGCUAUUGUGCCUUGCGCAUGGUAGUCCUUGCAUUCCGCUUGUGUUUUUGUGGUUUUGCCACUUUUCACUUUGGUGCUAGGGCAUUUUGAUGUUUUUGUUGUUUCUUUCUUAACGUGUGUAUAUUUAUAAUGUGCCGUUUUGGGCUAUUUAAUACAUAUUCAGGUGGGGGAAUAAUCCCCCCCAGAGUAAGGACUCAUUCGUUGUUCCAACUCCUCAAAGCUUAUAUACAAUAGACCAGGGUUUGCUAGUAACCGAACGAGCUCUAAAUGACUGCUGAACAAAGCAAAAGGAUGAUGUACGCAUUAGUUCAUACUAUGGAAUAUAUCAUCACAUGAGGCAAUGUACAAAUUACACCAAGGUAUAACGAUUUAAACUUAAACGGUAAGGGAAUCAACUUAAUAAGAUAGCUUAAACUUAAUUGGGUAAUAUUUUGCAUCACUACAGGAGAAUAUUAAAUGGUGCAACAGCUAGCGGCAGGCUUCCAUUUCUAAGUUCUAUAUGAUGACAAUUAAGUUGCCUCAAGGCACGGAUAAUAGAUAAAACAGAGAGUCUGGUGAACGAAGCACCAUAAUUAGUUAGAAUAAUGUCUCGAUGCUAGUGUUGUUGACACGUCUUGAUAUGUGAGUGGUCAUUUGGAGUUCUAAUUUCCCUGUGCCACCUUUGCCACUGCUAUUGAUCUCCACGCCAGUCAAGACAGUAAAAUUAUUGAGGACCAUUUGAUCACAACCAGAGCCUGCUUCAGCUUCUUGGGUGAAGAACCUUGCAAUGCAGAACCUGCCGGAACCCAGGCUGACAAACUGAGGAUCCCUGCACUCCUUCCAUUCCUGUGGCAGAUGAACAAGCUCCUUCCAAGGGCCUCCCACCAGCCGCAGUGGCUGGGGAGAAGAAUCCAGCAUGCCAGAAAGGUCAACAGCAGCCAAUUGCUGGGCACCGGCUGAGAGGCCAAACCAGAGCUUGAGCUGAGGUACAUACUCAACCUUGCCAUGGAAGGGGAGAGUCCAGUCACCGACUUUGUUCCA